rnacentral:rRNA from 1 species
AUUAGAUACCCUGGUAGUCCAUGCCGUAAACGAUGAUUACUAGGUGUGGGAGGAUUGACCCCUUCCGUGCCGCAGUUAACACAAUAAGUAAUCCACCUGGGGAGUACGACCGCAAGGUUGAAACUCAAAGGAAUUGACGGGGGCCCGCACAAGCGGAGGAACAUGUGGUUUAAUUCGAUGAUACGCGAGGAACCUUACCCGGGCUCAAACGACAGAUGAAUGUUUUUGAAAGGAGGCAGCCCUACGGGGCAUCUGUCGAGGUGCUGCAUGGUUGUCGUCAGCUCGUGCCGUGAGGUGUCGGCUUAAGUGCCAUAACGAGCGCAACCCCUGCCGGCAGUUGCUAACGGGUAAAGCCGAGGACUCUGCCGGGACUGCCGGCGCAAGCCGCGAGGAAGGCGGGGAUGACGUCAAAUCAGCACGGCCCUUACGUCCGGGGCGACACACGUGUUACAAUGGGUGGCACAGAGGGAAGCCAGGUGGCGACACCGAGCGGAACCCGAAAUCCACUCUCAGUUCGGAUCGGAGUCUGCAACCCGACUCCGUGAAGCUGGAUUCGCUAGUAAUCGCGCAUCAGCCAUGGCGCGGUGAAUACGUUCCCGGGCCUUGUACACACCGCCCGUCAAGCCAUGGGAGCCGAGGGCGCUUGAAGUGCGUCGCCGGGAGGCGCGCCCUAGAGCGAAAUCGGUGACUGGGGCUAAGUCGUAACAAGGUAAC